rnacentral:rRNA from 1 species
GAUGAAUGCUGGCGGCGUGCUUAACACAUGCAAGUCGAGCGGUAAGGCCCUUCGGGGUACACGAGCGGCGGACGGCUGAGUGACGCGUGGGAACAUGCCCUAAAGUGAGGAAUAACUGCCCGAAAGGGUGGCUAAUGCCGCAUAUGAUCUUCGGAUUAAAGGAUUUAUCCGCUUUAGGAGUGGCCUGCGUACGAGUAGCUUGUUGGUGAGGUAAUGGCUUACCAAGGCGACGAUCGUUAGCUGGUCUGAGAGGAUGACCAGCCAGACUGGAACUGAGAUACGGUCCAGACUCCUACGGGAGGCGGCAGUGAGGAAUCUUCCACAAUGGGCGAAAGCCUGAUGGUGCAACGCCGCGUGCAGGAUGAAGGCCCUCGGGUCGUAAACUGCUUUUAUGAGUGAAGAAUAUGACGGUAACUCAUGAAUAAGCACCGGCUAACUACGUGCCAGCCGCCGCGGUAA